rnacentral:rRNA from 1 species
AUGGAAGACGGCAGGGCUCUGAGGAGGAUGUCUAUCCCUACUCGCAGAAGCAGAUCCGCCGAUUUCCACAACUUUUCAGAAAGGCGGAGACGGGAUAAGAUCAACGAGAAGCUGAAGGCACUUCAAGAGCUACUCCCAAACUGCACCAAGGUCCACACGGACAAGGUGUCAAUGCUAGAUGAAGCGAUCGACUACCUGAAAUCGCUCCAGCUGCAACUCCAGAUGCUGGUGAUGGGGAAGGGGAUGGCACCCGUGGUGCCUCCGGAGCUGCAGCAGUACAUGCACUACAUCACCACGGACCCCGCUGCCCAGCUGAUGCAGAUGCCUCCCUCGGAGCCGCCGCGGCCGUUCCAGAUCACGCACGCCAACCCGCCGCAGCGGGAGUCGGAUUUCCUCAGCCAGAUGCAGAACCACCUGCACCCCUCCGACCAGCCUCAGAUCAAUUUCCUCAGGCCGCCGAAACUGCAGCUCUACACCCCGGAACAGAGGGGAGUUGUAGGCAGCAGCAGUGGCCACAACGGCGGAUGGAUCCCGGAGAGGAAUUCCUCCUACAACUUUAUGGAGUGA